CUUAAGUGGGGAAUAACGCAUCGAAAGAUGUGCUAAUACCGCAUAAUCUCUAAGGAGAAAAGCAGGGGAUCGUAAGACCUUGUGCUUUUGGAGUGGCCGAUGCCUGAUUAGCUAGUUGGUAGGGUAAAGGCCUACCAAGGCGACGAUCAGUAGUUGGUCCGAGAGGACGACCAGCCACACUGGGACUGAGACACGGCCCAGACUCCUACGGGAGGCAGCAGUGGGGAAUUUUGGACAAUGGGCGAAAGCCUGAUCCAGCAAUGCCGCGUGAGUGAAGAAGGCCUUCGGGUUGUAAAGCGCUUUCAGUCGAGAAGAAAAGGUUGCGACGAAUAAUCGUAACUCAUGACGGUAUCGACAGAAGAAGCACCGGCUAACUACGUGCCAGCAGCCGCGGUAAUACGUAGGGUGCGAGCGUUAAUCGGAAUUACUGGGCGUAAAGGGUGCGCAGGCGGCUUUGUAAGUCAGAUGUGAAAUCCCCGGGCUUAACCUGGGAAUUGCGUUUGAAACUACAAGGCUAG
rnacentral:rRNA from 1 species